UGCUUCCAUGACAGUCAUAAAAGGUAUUAGAGGUUGCAUUUAUAAUUGAAUAAAAUAAACUAUUAUAAUGUAUACCAUAAAAGCUACUUCAGCAUUUUUCAUGGACUGUAUAGCAAAAGUAAUCAAAAAUAGCUGUAUACUUUUUUUUAGGACUAGACAGAAGUUAAUCGUCUGUCCAUUACCACCUGAUAAUUAAGAGCUAUAACAGUCUACAGAUGGUUUGUAUGUGUAGAGUGUCUAGCACCCUGGCCAAAUAAAGAGUGACAAAAACAUAUUUCAGAUCUAUUCACUUAUCUUGUAUACUGCUUAUCCUGUGUUCAGGAUUGCAGGGGUCUGGAGCUGGUCCCAGGAGACACGGAGCACGAGGAGGGCACACAGGGCAAACACUAUGGGCAAUUUUGGAAACGUCAAUGAACCUAAUCUUUAUGUCUUUGGACUGUGAAGGAAACCCACUCAGCACAGGCAGGACAUGCCAACUUUAUGCACACAGACCAGAGGCGGGACUUGAGCCCUUGACAAUGGCGAGAAGCUUGUUUAAGAGACGUGGUGGCAGCAGCGACUUUGGAGGUUCCCAGGGUAGAUUUACGCACUCCUGAGUUGCCAGUGAUUCCGGUCCCUUCUGCCCUCUGGACCUGUCUGACACAUCCUGGUGCCAUGCUUCUGUUUGGUGUUCUUGUCGCAUGACGUGACUGGGGAUGGUUACAUAUGUCCAACCAUGAAGAUGGUCUUUGACUUGGCUGAUUCAGGCAAUUUUACUCUGAUGACUUGUGACUUCAGUUGCUUAAUAUUUUAGGACUGAAAUUCUGGCUUACUCAUAAUGUCUGACAGUUAUAAUUUAUACAUCUUUCCUCAUACUUUUUGACCUUAUUUCCAGGUUUUUGCAACAAUGUCUAUUGUUAAAAGUACUAUAUAAAUUAAUGGGAAUUUAUUU